AAGAAAUAAAACUGGUCGAUCUGAAUCGAUUCAGUAUGCUGAGGGUCUUACCAAGGUUGAUGGAAAAUCUGAUCACAUGGAUAAACAGUCAUAGAAGAAACAAAAGGGGUUCUGGACUAUAUAGGUGAUAUUCAAUUUGAACGACCUAAAGUCUGCAGGGGUGAAGCAAAAGUUGGAAUGGCUAAAGAAAUUAAAAUCAGGAGAAAAAGCUCCAUUUGUACAAUUAAAACCGGGUUACUCACUUCUCUUAACAUUUCUAGAAUCUUAACUGAGUACUUUAUCGUUCAGAGUGAAGUUCGUGUUGUUUCUGUUAUGUAGAUACUUAGUGAUGAGAUACUUUUGCUAUGUAAGAGAGGAAGCUAGCUGGCAGGUUAGGAUCUUAGUGGAGCAAGGAAGAGCUUACAUUCUUUUAUGAAGAGUAUGGGAAAGACUGGAAAAAGGCAUAAUUAUCUCUUCCACAAGGGAUGGCAUCAGUAGAUGGGUUAACAACAAGGAU